GGGCCCCGAGAACUGCGUCCUGGCGCCCCGUGGGCAUCCCCGCGUGCGUCCCGGUGCGCCUGGCGGGAGGCCCCGGGGCUCACGCGACCGGGGCUGGAACCACAGCUCGGCGCCGGGAGGAGGGAGGGAGCGGCAGCGGCUGCGGGGUGCGCGGGCACGUCACCGAGACAGACAGGCGGGCGGGCGGGAGGCGGCGGCCGCGGGUUCGAGCCGGCGCCGAAGCCCCGCAGCCCCCUCCCCCUGCCCGAGGCCUGGGGAGCCCCCGCCCAGCCCCGGAGACGCCGAAAUGCAAUUUCCCGUGCAGGCGCCUCGGCUGGGGGGCUUUUCCGGGCGGGUUUUGGAAAGAAGAGGGGAAACGCGGCGGUGGUCCAAAACGAGAACCACUUGGCAGCCGGACAUCCUGGGGCCACUCACUAGGAAUCCCUCUCUGCUGCUCACUAGCUGUGUCAGUUGGCCUGAGUCUUCCAAACUGACAAAUGGGAGUACUCCACACUUUUUGAGGACGACUUGAGUAAAUGCAAAAAGAAACAAGCCUUCCGCCCAGUAGUGCUACAUCUAAAUAGCAAAGGCUACAUAAAUGUUUACUGUUACUAUUA